UACGUAGGGUGCAAGCGUUAUCCGGAAUUAUUGGGCGUAAAGAGCUCGUAGGCGGUUUGUCGCGUCUGCUGUGAAAACCCGAGGCUCAACCUCGGGCCUGCAGUGGGUACGGGCAGACUAGAGUGCGGUAGGGGAGAUUGGAAUUCUGGUGUAGCGGUGGAAUGCGCAGAUAGUCAGGAGGAACACCGAUGGCGAAGGCAGAUCUCUGGGCCGAUAC
rnacentral:rRNA from 1 species